rnacentral:rRNA from 1 species
UACGUAGGUGGCAAGCGUUGUCCGGAUUUACUGGGCGUAAAGAGCGCGCAGGCGGUCGUUCAAGUCGCGUGUGAAAGCCCCCGGCUCAACUGGGGAGGGUCACGCGAUACUGAUCGACUCGAAGGCAGGAGAGGGUAGUGGAAUUCCCGGUGUAGUGGUGAAAUGCGUAGAUAUCAGGAGGAACACCGGUGGCGAAGGCGGUUCUCUGGGCAUGACCUGACGCUGAGGAGCGAAAGUGUGGGGAGCGAACAGG